UGCUUUUCAGUAAACCUUGCCGCUUCGUUCGACUACGGGUUCCAGAAAGCCUUACCAAGCUGAAUCGCGAGCCACCCUUUUCCAUCCACCUUGUCAUAGGACUGGAUGGAGAGGCUGGAAUAUGUGCAUUGAAAGAAGAAGAAGAAAAAAGAUGCAGUUAUAAGAAUGAAUCCCUUUGUUGAACUCCAGUUGUCUUAUCUCCGUGUCCCAUAUGGAAGCUGAAGGAGAAAGUGAUGCUGCACCCAUAGCUUCAGAAGUUUCCACAUAAUUUCCACCGAUUGUUCUUCCUGUCCGGAAAUUCCUUCUUAGUUUUUGGUUGGAUGUCUCUUUGGUUCAAGCUGCUAUUCAUUGAUAAAUGGAAGCAAUUCAGGGACAAUGUGUGUAUGCGCGAAUGGGGCAGCACAGCUGGCUGCCAUCCCUGAAAAUUUCCCCUUUUCCCUUGUUCUAUAACUUUUGAAUUAUUUCUUUAAGGACUUUUUCACGCACCUUAAAAACAACACAAAGGCAAGUAGAUUGGUUAAUAGGAAUUAAAGAAUUGAUAAUCAAUUAACAAGCAGGAUUGAAUAAUUUUAUUAAAAUAUUUUAAUAUUUUAAUCCAUCAAGUGGCUCAUCCAAUUAUUGUUGCUAAAGGUUUGUGAGGAUGUUAUUUUUUGUAUUAAGGUUUU